rnacentral:rRNA from 1 species
UACGAAGGGGGCUAGCGUGGCUCGGAUUGACUGGGCGUAAAGGGCGCGUAGGCGGUUCGUACAGUCAGACGUGAAAUUCCUGGGCUCAACCUGGGGGCUGCGUUUGAUACGUGCGGACUUGAGUGCGGAAGAGGGUCGUGGAAUUCCCAGUGUAGAGGUGAAAUUCGUAGAUAUUGGGAAGAACACCGGUGGCGAAGGCGGCGACCUGGUCCGAUACUGACGCUGAGGCGCGAAGGUCAGGGGAGCAAACGGG